rfam:Chlorocebus sabaeus isolate 1994-021 chromosome 14, whole genome shotgun sequence.
AUCGAUGUGGUGGCACACACCUGUAGUCCCAGCUAUUCGGGAGGCUGAGGCAGGAUGAUAGCUUGAGUCGGUACAGGAGUUCCGGGCUGCAGCGCACUAUGCCGCCUAGGUGUCUGCACUAAGUUUGGCAUUAGUAUGGUGACUUCUGGGGAAUGGGGGACCACCAGGUUGCCUGAGGAGGGGUGAAUUGGCCCAGGUCAGAAAUGGAACAGGUCAAAAUUCCCUUGCCGAUCACACCUGUGGAAGGUUCCAGCCUGAGCAACAUAGCCAGACACCACCUUUU